AUUGAACGCUGGCGGCAGGCUUAACACAUGCAAGUCGAGCGGGGUGAGGUGCUUCGGUACUGAUCCUAGCGGCGGACGGGUGAGUAAUGCUUAGGAAUCUGCCAUUUAGUGGGGGACAACAUUCCGAAAGGAAUGCUAAUACAGCAUACGUCCUACGGGAGAAAGCAGGGGUUCUUCGGACCUUGCGCUAAAUGAUGAGCCUAAGUCGGAUUAGCUAGUUGGUGGGGUAAAGGCCUACCAAGGCGACGAUCUGUAGCGGGUCUGAGAGGAUGGACCGCCACACUGGGACUGAGAGACGGCCCAGAAUCCUACGGGAGGCAGAAGUGGGGAAUAUUGGACAAUGGGCGGAAGCCUGAUCCAGCCAUGCCGCGUGUGUGAAGAAAGCCUUAUGGUUGUAAAGCACUUUAAGCGAGGAGGAGGCUCUUUUGGUUAAUACCCAAGAUGAGAGGACGUUACUCGCAGAAUAAGCACCGGCUAACUCUGUGCCAGCCGCCGCAGUAAAAC
rnacentral:rRNA from 1 species